AUUUAGUGUUUGAAAUAUGCUUUGAGCCUUCAGCUGCCAUGUGCUGUUCCUAUAAAUGACUAGCAUUUUUACUAUGUUGAAAAAGCCAUCUAGUACAUCAGUGUGAUCUGGUAUGUUGUCCAGGUGUUUUAAGUGCCAAUCUUGAUAAAGGUCCUCACAUGGACCGAAACGUCGAUGAAAAACGGCAUCAACAGUGAACCUGAAUAAAAUUAUAUUGAAUUUACAAGUGAAUUCAGAGACUGAUCUCUGGGCGUGAGUGCACCUUCCACCCAGGUGGUAGUUGGUCCUCCAUGUGUGCAUGAAGUUGCUGAUUCCUCUUUUUUUCAUAUGAAUGCUUCCCUUUUGAGCUCUUCGUAAUCUGAGUUACCAGAUUCACGAGGCUGACUUUAUGCCCUUAUUUCACGCCUCAUUGAUGUUUGGAAGCCCACGUAUGAACCUAUUCGGCCAAUGAUCUAGGCCCAUCACUCUCUUGGAUAGACAUUAUUAUCUAAGACGCACCCCUGAUGAAGUCCAGUUCCUAGACGAAACGUGUUGGGUUACUGUAUUUCUUGUUGAUGUUAUCUCCGAAUAUUUAAUGAGGAAGAAUAAGGAUACAACAGAAAGGUUGCCUUCUUUCCUCCACAUCCCAUUGAUGGAUUUCUGUAGGAGAAACUACAUCAUAAUGUACAUGUAAUAAUGAUGGAUAAACUUCAUGUUUCUGUAUAAUUGUUUUAAUAAAUUUUUAUGAAAAGUACAGUCCGUUAUGUGUUUUAAAAACCUGUAUAAAUAUUGAUUGUAAAUCCUGUUAAGCAAUAGUCUUUGUAUAAGGGUAUUUGUAAACCCCUGGGGCGCCAUUUUUCCUCUUUUUCUAUACUCUAUUUUCUUUGCUCAGUUCCUCCUAACGAGGAACUCAGAGGAAGCAAUCAGCCCAUCCUAGAGAUAGCUAUACCUAAUCGCCUAUUUUGAAACCAAUUAGCGCAGGAGAGUGUUU